rnacentral:rRNA from 1 species
UACGUAGGGUCCGAGCGUUGUCCGGAAUCACUGGGCGUAAAGGGUGCGUAGGCGGGUCUUUAAGUCAGGGGUGAAAUCCUGGAGCUCAACUCCAGAACUGCCUUUGAUACUGAGGAUCUUGAGUUCGGGAGAGGUGAGUGGAACUGCGAGUGUAGAGGUGAAAUUCGUAGAUAUUCGCAAGAACACCAGUGGCGAAGGCGGCUCACUGGCCCGAUACUGACGCUGAGGCACGAAAGCGUGGGGAGCAAACAGGGA